rnacentral:rRNA from 1 species
AAACAUAUCAAUAAGCGGAGGAAAAGAAGACUAACAAGGAUUCCCCUAGUAACGGCGAGUGAAGAGGGAAGAGCUCAAAUUUGAAAGCUGGUACCUCCGGUAUCCGCGUUGUAACCUCGAGACGCGUUUUCCGUGCGGCGCUAUGGACAAGUUCCUUGGAACAGGACAUCGUAGAGGGUGAAAAUCCCGUACUUGCCAUGGAUGUACCGUGCUUUGCGAUACGUGCUCUAAGAGUCGAGUUGUUUGGGAUUGCAGCUCAAAAUGGGUGGUAGACUCCAUCUAAAGCUAAAUAUCGGGGAGAGACCGAUAGCGAACAAGUACCGUGAGGGAAAGAUGAAAAGCACUUUGGAAAGAGAGUUAAAAGUACGUGAAAUUGUCGAAAGGGAAGCGCUUGAAGUCAGCCAUGCCGCUCAGGACUCAGCCUGGCUUUUGCUUGGUGUAUUUCCUGGGUAGCAAGUCAGCAUUGGUUUGGAUCGUCGGAGAAGCAUAGUCGGAAUGUGGCGCCCUCGGGCGUGUUAUAGCCUUCUAUUGGAUACGACGAUCUAGACCAAGGAACGCAGCGCGCCUUAUGGCGGGUCUUCGGACACCUUCGCGCUUAGGAUGCUGGCGUAAUGGCUUUAAGAUGGUCCGUCUUGAAC